CGACUAGUCCCAGCUAUAUUCUCAUCUCCUGAAGAGAACAGUGAAAGAAAAGGUGAGCUCAACUAGCCCAGUAAGAAAUACUAUGACUAAGAUAAUGCAGAAUAAAUUAUCCUUAGCCUUCAACAGUAUAACAACUGAAAGAAUACAAUAGACAACAAGUUUUAGAUCAACAACUGUAGCGGAUCAAGCAAUCCAUUAGAAGAGUCAAGUAGAGCAUGAUAUCCACUAUCUUCUAUGAUUUAAAAGUGUAUCAUCAAUUUUAUCGCUGAGACCCAGCUUAAUAAAUAAUCCACAUCACUGAAUUAUCCAUGCCCUAAGGGCCAAGGAUAUUCAUUAGUAUCACAACCACGAAUUAUUUCCAAAUAAAGUAUUGUCUUGAUAAUGAUGAAAUUUCAAGGAUAUUCUACUAAUUUCAUGGAGUAUAGAAGCAAUAUUUCAAUAAAAUGAGUGUAGAAUUAGGGAUACAAAAUAAAAUAAUAUUACUUACAUACUACAGAGUAUGGAAGAAAAUAUUUUUUCAUACGAAUAUUAAACAAAAAUAAUAUCUCUUACGAAUAAAAAAUAAAUAACAUCCCUUACCUUAGUAGAAGGCUGGAUACUGCAAUAGUGAAGUAGCAGAAUACUCUUCCUCUUUCUCUUUAUAGCUUAUCUCUCUAUAGCUUCUCUCUCUAUAAUUGCUCUUGUGAGUCUUAGUGAAUUGGUGAGAAUGAAAGAAGAAUGAGCUUCUAUUUAUAGGAAAAUAUAGUUUUGAUAAUUGCACGGCUCUAAUUAUUACAGAAUAGUACCUUCAUCUUUUCCUCCAUUUUUAAUUUAGUCCUACAAGUAUUAUCAAACUUGCACCACCUCCCCUAAUAGUACAUGCAUGUGAAUCAAUAGUACAUGCAUUUGAAUCAAUAGUUCCAUUCAUGUGAAUAAAUAGUUAUAUGCAUGUGAACUAAUAGCAAUUAAUUACUCAUUUAUCCGAUUAAUUAUCCGAUUGGUCAAUUUAGCCUCCAGAAAUCAAUUAUUAUCGAAAUAAAUGUCGAUUUCCACUAACACUAAUAAUCCCAACGUAAUAAAAAUAUCAAUUUCAUCUUUAAUCCACACAAACUUAUUCAUCGUUAAUAUUAUAACUCACAAUAUUUAACAACGAGAUCAUUCCUAGGAAAAAGGGGGCUUUCCGAUAAGGAUUUCUCCCUAUUGGCGCGCAAUUAGGUGACCAAACCCCUUUCCUCGAUAGAACUUUCUAGACAUCGUCAAUAUUGCAAAUAAUAAUAUGAAUAACUUUGUCGUCUCAAUUAUUGAUUUAAUAAUAUAAAAUAUUAUGUAGAUGAUACUGUGACAAUAAUUGAAUCAAUAAUAUGAGAGAUAUUAUGCAACAAUUACUGUAACAAUAAUUGAGUAUAACUGAGUGACUUCUCGCGUAAGCAUCAAUAAUCAAAGAUACUAUACAAUACCGUGUGCUACUAUGCAACCGCGCGUAUUACUGUACUUUUAUCAUCGGGUAUUUCAACAGUUUAAUGGUAAAACUUUCACCGUUAUUUUUAUAAAAAGAUAUUUUUGUCGUUUUCUAACUUCGACAAUACUUCCGUUGUGGGGUUCACCAAUGAUUGUGCCGUCGAACGAAUAUUCCCUGACUCCAACCAAUGAAAUAUUUUAUGACAACUUGUAUACUUUGCAAAAUUUAUAAAUAUUAUCCACAACUAUAAUAUUAUAUCAAAUCCUCACCUUAAUACUUAAAAAAAAUAUUUCGAGAAAAUUAAUCUUUAUUCAUAAAAUUUGGGGUCUUAUAAAUUUAUUUCAUUAAUAAAUGUCAAUUCGACUUACUAUUCUUCAUUACGGCUUAUUAAUAUUCUUACGUCACCAACCUAAGACUUGGUCAUCAUUGGUUAAUUACCAAAGUUUGAAUACACUUUACUUUCAUAUCUCUCGCGUUCUUCGUUUAAUUUCUAUUAAACCAUAUUCAAAUUCCAAAAUUUAUCACUAUAUAAGUGACUUAAGAUUAAUCUUAUCAUGUAUAAUAAGUAUAUACAUGUCCAAUACUAGUUUUGUAACAAAUUUGGAAUUAGAAAAUAACUUGUUCAACAAAUUCCCACUACCGGCGCUGCGACGCCAGACAUCAAUACACUAUUGGCGCUGCGGCGCCAACUAACAGUGUGUUUUGCCCGGUCUCGACGCUGCGACGCGAGAUCCCUUUGUACAAGUGGCUUUGCGGUGCCACUCUCCAGUAGCUAAGUCUCCCUAAUCAGCACUGUGACGCGAGUUUUAAUGCUUGGGGCGGCGCUGCGGCGCCCACCCUGAGCCCUUGAAUUUUUUUUCUAAUUUUCAAUACGAUUCUUCCCGGACUCAUAACUUAGUCGUUUUAAGUCGGAUUUGGCUCGUUCAAAAGCCAUUUUCUUACACGUUCCAUGAACUUUGAUUUCAUCAGGACAAAAGUAGUUUUUAAACCCAUUAAUGAUGAAUUCACUAUUAACGUUCUAAUAAGUGUUCGUUAAAUGCUCGUGAGCGUUCAUAACUCGUUUUAUUCAUUCUAAGUCGGAAUUCAACCGUUCUUGAGGCUAAGACUCUUGAAUAUGUUAUUCUACGCUACCCCAUCAAAAACUAGGGUUUUCUAACUAAUCGAAAAGCUUUGACUACUAAUCCGGAAUUAUACGAUUUCAACGUUUAACGUCUAAUUUCGUAAAUUUUGCCAUAACUUCGUUACUCGUGUUUUAUAUGCCAAAUCAAAUGGAACCAAUCCAUUGAUUCAUUGUCUAUAUCCUAACCAAGCAAUAGGCACAUACCCUAUAAAUGAUGAUUUUCAAUUCGUCUAUCAACAACCAAGUCAAAACUUAAUGUUUUUUUGUCGGUUAAACUUACUUAAACGUUUAUGAUUCCUACUUAUACAUGGCUUGUAAAUAUUUAAUUCACUAUUAGCCAUCCUUAUUACUCCGUAAGAGACAUGCUCCACCAAUUCAUGAUUCUCUAUAAAAUAAAUUUAAACGGAUCGAAUACUAAGGUUUUACGAAUUAUUCCCUUAUCGUUCUUCGCGUUCUUGCUUAAAACUUGUAUGUUUUGCUUCAAGCUCACUUGAUUACUUGUUUCUAGCUAUUUUCUCUCUCUCAAAUUAUAUUAGUCAAAGUUUGUAAAACAACAAAUGACCAAGCUAAGCUUCCUUAUAUAGAAAAUCAAAUGAAGGGUAUUUUGGUCAUUUGGUGCACCUCCUUACUAUUCAUUACUUUGUAACCAAGUAACGACUUUACUUGGCCACCAAGUGGCCGGCCCACAUGGCCUUGUGGGCCCCCCAUGGGUUUUACCUAUCCGGUGACCCAUCGGUUCGAUCCACAGUUCGGUUUCUUGGAUCAGGCUUGAUUUAACCUAACAUUGGGCCUUGAUAAUACUCAAUAUUGGGCUUCAUUUCACAAAACAUUGGGCUUGAUAUAAUCCAAGUCCAAUUGGAUUCUACAAAGCCCAUUAACUCAAAGUCCAAUAAGAAGCAAUCGUAUUAUACGCGUAUAACUCACGUAUUCUCUUCGUAUAGUAUUUGUACGAUAUUUGUAUUAUAUGUCAUAAUGUUCUUCAUACUAUACUCGUAUACUAACUAGUAUCCUACUCGUAUAUCACACGUAUAAUAACCUUAAUCCUUAUACGCAUUCAUUUCCUUCUCGGAAAUCACUUUUCCUAACCCUUAGGUUUUAAGUCCGCAAACAAAAACUUCGUUUGCCAUAACUGAAAUAUUAUUGGAUAUUCUAUCUCGUCUUAAAAUUCUAUCAUUACGCGUUUCUCGGAAUUUCAAACUUAAUUCCUAAGCAGAAACGAAUAAAUAGUGUUUUUUACGGAAAUUUCUCAAAAAACUUUUAUUUUUUUCUUGGAAAUUCAAAAUAAUUAAUUCUAGCACAUAGCCAGAAUUCUAACCACAUCCACACAUUCUAAGUCAUAAAACGACCUUCAUACAGCUUACUCACAUAAAUAAUCAAUUAAUUCAUUUAAUCCACAUAAUCAAAUAAAAAUUUAAUUCUCAUAAAAAUCAGAUUUUCUCGGGCGUUACAAAAUGCAUCACAAAUACAAAUUCAUAAUUCUCCAUCUUAUCAAUCAAACUUAUGGCUAUACCACUAUUAUUAUCAGAAGCACCAUCAUCAUGCACAUUUUCAAGCACUUAUAAUACGGAAGUCCACAUAGACAUAAGACGGAUUAUUGUUAUGUAAUGUGACCCCCUACAAGUAUCUCCUGGCCGUCUUAAACUGAUUUCUUAAUUUUUUCCUUUACCACUAACUAUUUCUCCCUUUUCCAAACACUCCACGAUCCUAUCAUGUUCAAGCUGUCUAAGUUUAUCUUUCCUUUUACAUGAUGUUCCAGCCACAUUCACAAUCAUAGUAACAUAUUGAAAAAAAUCACUCACAAUACGGCUGCUACUAUUGGCAACAACAACAACAACUAAUUGGAGUUGGUGAGAAAAACAAUGGACAUACCUUGCAUAUGGAUUUUUUUUAAAAUAAGAGCCUUCAAUCCAUUGAACUCGCCUCACAUAUUUGAAGACCCAUCAUAUCCUUGACCUCUCAACCUCGAUAAUGACAAUUUAUGCUUUGCAAAUAAUUCAUCAAUAGUAUUCUUCAAAGAAAUAGAUGAAGUGUCAGGCACAUGUACCACACCAAGAAACCUUUCAAUCACAUCUCCAUAGUUGUUUACAUAUCUCAAAACAACUCCCAUUUGCUCCUUUAUUGAAACAUCUCGAGACUCAUCAACUAUAAUAGAAAAUAUGUUGUCCCCAAUAUCAUUGAUGAUGGCAAGUGUAGUUUCCACGGCACAAGCACUUGUUAGUCUUUUUGAAUUUUUGGAGAAGUCAUUUGAUUGUUUCUAGGAGCAUUCUCAUUAACUACCUUGCCUACCUCUUCAUUUCGUAAGUUGUACCACUCAAAAAACUCAAGAAAAUUUUCCUUAUUUCAUGAAGUCGAUGACUCAUCAUGUCCAUGAAAAGGCAAACCUUGCUUCAAAAGAAGGCAUGUGACAUCCAAAGCCGCCGUUAAACGGGUGCGAUAAGCAACCUCCAUCUCUUACUUUUGUGCUAGUAGUAUAUGUGACACACUCUGCCUUUGAUUUUUAAAACCUUGAAGUUGUAUUUUAGCAUCAUUAUGAGCACUAUUUGAACCACCCACAUGUUCUUAAAAUUUUUCAAUUGCCUUUUUCUAGUUGCUGAACCCUUUUUUUGUAAAAGCAUCUACUCUGUUUGAAUUGCCAAAUAGAUAGCAACAAAAGCAAAAGGCCGCAUCCUUUGAAAUGCUAUACUCCAACCAUUCAAAAGUUUUAAACCAAGCGGGCCGAAAGCUUUUCUUCACAUUAGAAAAGUAUUUUUGAGGAUAAUUAUGGGCAAUUGGUUGACAUGGACCUCUAGUCAAAUACUCUCUUCGAACUUGAUCUCUAAUCACAAUAGCAAAGUCUUCAAUUGAUUUACGUAACCCCGGAUCACUAACAAUAUCAUUCGGAUUGAACUCCACACGCGAAUUAUUAAUAUCACCACUUGCUUUAGAACUUCGUAAUUGAUUAUUAAAAGAAUAAAUAGUUCUUUGUCGUUUAAUCAAGUAUUUAUCCAUAAUCUAGUAUAAAUAAAAACAUCAAUUGCUAAUGAAUAAUUUUUAAACAUUUCACAAUAAUUUCAUCAUUCAUCAAUUCUCUUAGGAUUUAAGAAAACAAAAAUUAAACAAUAAUUUAAGAUUACUCCAACAGUAACAAUUUUGAAAACUAAAUUACUAAAAGAUUAAUAUAGAAUCUCAAAUUACCAAAUUGAGAGUCUAAUUUUCUUUUUUUGAUAUAAUUCCAAACUGGGAGUUAUUCUAUAUAGAAAGAGAAGCUAGGAAACAAAACAGGAAAUAAACCAUGUACCCAUAACCAUAUAAAAUCACACUAGCUAAAGCUAAGUUUCAAUAAAACUUAUUAUAAGAGUAAAGGGAAGAUCCAAAGCUUUCAUAAAAAAUAAACCAAACCCAAUAAAGUUAUACCCAAUUCAAUUAGAGUAGAAAUUCAUUGUUUAGCAACAAAUAUAUAUACACACACUGACACACAUACAUACAAUUAGAUAAUCUAUAGAGAUAUGCAUACCUCUAGGGGCCGGCAGAGGCAGGAGCAGUGGAGGCGGAAGAGCCGAAGAGGGAAGAGACGAAGAAAGUCUGUGAAGAGACUAGAGAGUAAGAGAGUCUGUGAAGAAAACCCUAAUAAAAAUGUUUUAUUUUAUUUUUUAUUUUUUAAUGAAACGACGUCGUUUCAUGUUAUUAUAAAAAAGAAGAAGAAGAAGAAAGAAACAUGUAUUGUGUUGCAGACUGCAGAACUGAAUCGGAGAAGAAGAAGUCCUUGCCGGCGCCUGCUGGCUGGUGGCUGCCCCCCCNNNNNNNNNNNNNNNNNNNNNNNNNNNNNNNNNNNNNNNNNNNNNNNNNNNNNNNNNNNNNNNNNNNNNNNNNNNNNNNNNNNNNNNNNNNNNNNNNNNNNNNNNNNNNNNNNNNNNNNNNNNNNNNNNNNNNNNNNNNNNNNNNNNNNNNNNNNNNNNNNNNNNNNNNNNNNNNNNNNNNNNNNNNNNNNNNNNNNNNNNNNNNNNNNNNNNNNNNNNNNNNNNNNNNNNNNNNNNNNNNNNNNNNNNNNNNNNNNNNNNNNNNNNNNNNNNNNNNNNNNNNNNNNNNNNNNNNNNNNNNNNNNNNNNNNNNNNNNNNNNNNNNNNNNNNNNNNNNNNNNNNNNNNNNNNNNNNNNNNNNNNNNNNNNNNNNNNNNNNNNNNNNNNNNNNNNNNNNNNNNNNNNNNNNNNNNNNNNNNNNNCUAUCGGGAUCAGAUAAUGCCCCCCGCCCCCUAGUUCCGCCUCUGGCAAUAGAUACUGACCACUAAAUAAGAGAAAGACAACAAUGUAAAAUUAUACUCUCAAUUUAUAGUUUUGUUGGGAUGUGAUACCUACUUUGUAAUAUAGUAAACUAUUAUUUGGUGUAAAAUUAUUAUUAUUUUUUAUUAAUUUUAUACUUUCAAUUGUAUUUUAAAAGAUAACCUUUUUUUACUAAUAAUUAUAUCUAGUGAGUUUGUUAAUUAGUCAAAGGUAAAAAUAGAAACAUUACAAAAACAAACACGUGAUAGAAUUUUGCGUUUAACAAUUACUCUUUGUUAGAAUUUAAGGUUGAAAUACACAUCAAUCACAUAUAAAGUAGAUGAAGAACGAGAACUAAAAUACACACGAUAUAUUCAAGUUCAUCGACUAGUUUUGUUUGUCUUAUGUAUUCGUUAUAUGUCUAACACACUCUUCAAUGAUCCAUAUACCAAACAAUAUUUAUAUAAUAACUAGAAAAUCCGAUAUCAUGAGUUUAAAACGGAAGUGGUUAGUAUGAAGUUAAUUUUUGAGUAAGUUGGUCAAUUGGCCAAUAAAGUGCUAACACACAGGCAAGACUCUAUGUGUGUCAGCAUUUUAUUGGUCAAUUGACCAACUUACCCAGAAAUGAACUUCAUGCUAACUGAAUCUGUUUAAAAUCCAUCAGGCCCAAAAUAUUGGUAAAACUCAAAGUUAGUCUACUAAUAAAUUUUCAAGUCUAAAUACAUAUUAUACUUAGAUUUCAGGGAGCACGACCCUUUUGCAAUCCCCACAUGUUUACUGGCGAGCAGGACAACCACUCCCUAACUGAGACACGAGAUCUCUGACUAUUCUGUUAUAGUGGUCAUUAAUUUGAUCCAGAAAUAUUCCCACCACUCCUAAAAGCACAGGAAAAAAAGCACUCAACUUUAUUUCGUCUGUUUAUUUAUUUAUUUAUUCAAAAUUCAAUUUUUCUUCACAAAAUUUAACACGACGUCACGUUGAAAAUGUGAUGCACUUAAAUACUAAAGGAAUAUAAAUAUUUCAUUUAUGACCUAAAAUAUUUUACGGUAGUUGCUGUACAAAAGUGUCCCGGGUUAGGAAAGCAAGCUUUUGGAUCUGUUCCAGCUAGCUUUCACAAAUGGCAAAUUACUUUUUCUUAUUUAUUGCUCGGUAAAACCUUACCUGAUCUAAAAGACAUGGAUUUAAGAAUGUAACGUGUAUAAUCGCUUGUUGAAAUACAUACCGGCGAUUUUUGAGUACCUUACAUUAAAUCGUCUUUUGGAUUAAAUGUUUCUUUGGUCACUGUACUUUAAAUCAACUUACAAAUGAAUAAUUAAAUUUUUUACAGUCAACUAAUUAUACUCAACUUUUAUAACACAAAGUUAAAAAACCAUUAAGUCCUUUGACUUUAAACCAAAAAGGACACCUAAGCUGCUGAUUUAUAAAAAAAAUUGAUGUGACAGUGAUUAUGCGACGUGACAGUGAUUAUGUGAUGUGGUCGUGAUUAUGUGGAUCUGGAGGAAAAAUUUUAUGAACAAAAUGAAAAAAAAUAUUUGAAGUAUAAUAUAAAUUUAAAAAGUUAGCCAAAAAAUAAGAAAAUAAAUAAAUAAUGUAUUUAAUUAUUUUUGUAAUUAAUAGCAAAUAAAUUUUUAUUUAUAAUUAAGCCAUUUAUAAAACAUAAAAACUAAAAAUGUGCUAAUUAAAAUUAAGGGGACUAUGAAAUACAUUUAGGGGAAAAUGAAAGAAAAUUAUAAAAAAAUCAGAAAAUUUAGCAAAAAAUACAUGGUAGAAAUUAUAAAAUAAAAAGAGUUAUUUAGUUAUUUUUGUAGUUAAUAGAAUUUUUUAUAUAAUUAAUAACAAAUAUAAUUAAGGAAAUUAUAAAAAUUAUAAAUUAAAAAUAUUUUAAAAUUAAAAAUCUUUUCAAAAUAAAUUUUUAUUUACAUAAAUAUUAUAUAUGUUAGGCAUAGAAUUAUUAAUUAUUAAAAGCAAAUAUUAUGGUAUAUUAACAAUUUAUUAAUAUAUUAUACUUAAACAAAUUAAACAAACCCAUCUUCACCUUCAAUCUUCUCUUCCACUACCACUGCCUAUCACCCUUCCACCAAUACGAGGGAUGAAUUAAGUAGCGGAACAACUAUAAAUUGGUCAAUCCAGAUUAUAACUUAGCAACUAUAAAUUUCUCUCUCUAACCUAGAACCAUCAUCACUAUUCAUCAUCUUCCUCAUCCAAUUUAGUACAAGAGACCCAAAUAGUAAAAACACUAACAAUCGACAACCAAGUAGGGAUAGUCAGCCUAUAAAUAACUAGAAUAUCUAACAAUCAAGAUCGAAAUAGAAAAAGUUCACUUGAAAUUGAAAAAAUUGUUACCCGAUUUGAGGUAUUCUUCCUCUUUUUCUUUAUUUUCAUUACAUGCUUAUGAGAAAUUGGGCUUCAGCUUGGGGAAGAAAUUAAAAUACUCUAUCGAAACGCAAUCUUCAUGUCCGAACGCCUUUGCCCCGAGUUUCCUUCGGAGGUACCUUCUUCAUCCCCUGACAUUUAAAUCUACAAGAUUGAUUAUUUAUGAAAAUUCAAAUAAUCUGCUCAGAGAGGAGAGCUCGAUGAUGUAUUUUUAGGUGGAGUAGAUCUCCUGCAUCCUUUCUCUCCUCUCUUUCGU
rnacentral:lncRNA from 1 species